rnacentral:tmRNA from 1 species
GACCUUUUCAUUAAGCGCAAAGUGCUUAUAUCGGUUUUGCCGGGUUCGCCCGGCUAUGGGGAUAAACGACGGCGUGCAAUAGGCGCAGCGGACCCGGGGGCGGUACCCGGCGGCUCCACCAUAAACCCCGGAAACGGGGCUUCUGACGGGGCCGAACUAGGAUCGACGUGUGUUGAAAAGCGCUAACUAUCUCUCGGCGUGGGCCACCGUGACGGUCCAUUACACAAGUGCCAACGAUAACGAAGCACUCGCUAUUGCGGCGUAACCCCAAGGCUUAACGGCCUAAGGUUAUUCUAAAAUGCGCGGUUGGACCGCACCGGGCAACAGAAGCGGAAUCCAGCGGUACGGGGAGCACCGGGCAACAGAAGCUCCCCACU